ACAGGAGCUGAUGCUUAUGCUGCAUCGUAACAUUCGCCGGGAACACAGCUCUAAAUAGUGAUGUCACAGAUGGAAAAUGAAUCGUCAAAAUAAGCACAGGUGCAAUGAACGACUAAGAAUGCCGAUGCAGGUAUCCCUGCCGCGUGACAUUAACAAACGUUGAACUAAUUUGGAAACAGUUUUGCUGACAAAUCUAUGCGCUUUCUCAGGAGGAGUACUAAGCAUCAAGGAGAGAUCGGUUUUGCUGUAUCAUAUUUCACGAGGUCUCGAAGUCUGAACGUGGA